AGUGAACGCUGGCGGUAGGCCUAACACAUGCAAGUCGAACGGCAGCACAGGGGAGCUUGCUCUCUGGGUGGCGAGUGGCGGACGGGUGAGGAAUACAUCGGAAUCUACUUUUUCGUGGGGGAUAACGUAGGGAAACUUACGCUAAUACCGCAUACGACCUACGGGUGAAAGCAGGGGACCUUCGGGCCUUGCGCGAUUGAAUGAGCCGAUGUCGGAUUAGCUAGUUGGCGGGGUAAAGGCCCACCAAGGCGACGAUCCGUAGCUGGUCUGAGAGGAUGAUCAGCCACACUGGAACUGAGACACGGUCCAGACUCCUACGGGAGGCAGCAGUGGGGAAUAUUGGACAAUGGGCGCAAGCCUGAUCCAGCCAUACCGCGUGGGUGAAGAAGGCCUUCGGGUUGUAAAGCCCUUUCGUUGGGAAAGAAAUCCAGCUGGCUAAUACCCGGUUGGGAUGACGGUACCCAAAGAAUAAGCACCGGCUAACUUCGUGCCAGCCGCCGCCGUAA
rnacentral:rRNA from 1 species